GACGAACCGUGCGAACGUUGUUCGGAUUCAUUGGGCGUAAAGGGCGCGUAGGCGGCGGGGUAAGUCGGGUGUGAAAUCUCAGAGCUCAACUCUGAAACUGCACUCGAUACUGCUCUGCUUGAGGACUGGAGAGGAGACUGGAAUUCACGGUGUAGCAGUGAAAUGCGUAGAUAUCGUGAGGAAGACCAGUGGCGAAGGCGGGUCUCUGGACAGUUCCUGACGCUGAGGCGCGAAGGCCAGGGGAGCAAACGGG
rnacentral:rRNA from 1 species